rnacentral:rRNA from 1 species
GACGGAGGGUGCAAGCGUUGCUCGGAAUCACUGGGCGUAAAGGGUGCGUAGGCGGCUUGGUGGGUCUGGUGUGAAAGCCCCGGGCUCAGCCCGGGAAGGGCGCUAGAAACUGCCGAGCUCGAGUGCCGGAGGGGAGAGUGGAAUUCCUGGUGUAGCGGUGAAAUGCGUAGAUAUCAGGAGGAAUACCGGUGGCGAAAGCGACUCUCUGGACGGCAACUGACGCUGAGGCACGAAAGCGUGGGGAGCAAACAGG